UGGGGAAUCUUGCGCAAUGCACGAAAGUGUGACGCAGCAACGCCGCGUGGAGGAAGAAGGCUCUCGGGUCGUAAACUCCUUUCAGUUGGGACGAAGCUUCGUCGGUUAAUAGCCGGCUGAAGUGACGGUACCUUCACAAGAAGCACCGGCUAACUACGUGCCAGCAGCCGCGGUAAUACGUAGGGUGCAAGCGUUGUCCGGAAUCAUUGGGGGUAAAGAGCGUGUAGGCGGCCCGAUCAGUCCGCUGUG
rnacentral:rRNA from 1 species